AUGACAGCAAGACUCUAUCUCAAAAAACAAACAAACAAAACCAAAACAGUAUCUCAUGUUUCUUAUUGGCUGUGACCAAGUAACUUCAUUGCUUUCAACCUUGAUCUGCUCACCUGUAAAACUGAGACCUUAUUAUUUGUUGUGAGAUUUAAAAGAGAAACAUGUUCAUUUCCUUCCUCUUUGGGGCUCAGAAGGAAUCCGAUGGGCGUCUUGCAGCUCCGAGCCUGAUGAAGAAUUGUAGCUGCUGUGCCUCAAGACAGAUAAGCUCAGGUCGUCCCAGUGGGGAUGCCACCUUGGGGACUGUGAACCUCCGCUGAGGCCAGGCCAUGCCGUGUGUCUGUAUCCCGAACUGCGGGAUUUCUCUGAUCCGCCAGGGAAAGGCCUGCCACCUCGUGGCCGCUUCAGGAACUGCUCCAAAGGCAGUCUGCUCUUGGGAACCUACCUGCUUAGGUAGCUCGCUGAGGUCUGGAACCGCAGCACACUGCAAGUUAUCUUCACGUGGAGGUGAAGCUGCCUGUAUGGAAGACUCUUGGAUCAGUCGUCUGAGCACAUGUCCAGCAAUGGGCAUGAGUGGCCUAGCCAGGGACUUGGGGUGCCGGAAGAGCCGACUGUACAGCACGUGGUGCCCCUAGCAAGGAUUGGGUGGUGUUUAAAAAGAAAAAAAGGUCGUGCAGAUGGUCUGACAGCCUGUCGACCGUGGGCGUGGUGCUUAUAGCAGCUGAGCACUGCCGGGGUACCAGGCUGUGUGCUGGGUGCUUCAAAGAUGUCCUCUUGUGGAUCAGCCCAUCUGUGGCGAGGAGGGGACCGGGCUCAGCCAGGUUAGAUGUGACUUGCACAAGGUCAUGUGGGUGAAAGGAAGGCAGAACUCUUGUGUAUUUCUCCUGACUGAUCCCAGAUUUUGCGUCAGGACUGAAGACAGAACCCACAUGUGUCCAGCACCGGGUGAUUGCUGCCAUGAGCUGCAUCGCUGUGAUCCCUCGGUGAGGGCAUGGAUUUUCAUCCUUGUAUUCAACUUUGAAAGAAGCAAAUUUAGAAAGAUAUGAAUAUGAUGGGCGUGGCAGACAGAAUUUUAAAGGUGGGCCCACUGACUCGUACCCCUGGCUGUUCAGUUAAACACUAGCCUAGAUGCUGCUGUGCAGGGACUUUGACGAAGGAAUGAAAGUCCCAAGCCAUCUGACUUUGAGAUCAGAGAUGAUCUGGUGGGCUUGACCUCCUGAGCUUAAUGAAAGCAGGGAGCUUUUCCAGCUGUCAGCAGAGAGGAAGGUGUGAGAAAGUCUGGAAUUAACAUUGCUGGUUUGAAGGAGGAAGGGGUUGUGUGAGAAGGUGUGUGGGUGACUUAUAGGAGCAGGGAGUGGCCCCCAGCCAUGGAAUGAGGACCCCAGGCCUGCAGCCACCAGGAGCUGGACUUUCGGGGCCACCUGAAUGCACCUGGAAGCGGAUUCUCCCCCAGAGCCUCCAGAAGAAGCCGAGGCUCCCAGGUUAAGAGACUUGCCUGGAAAAGCGUUAACUGACAGCUUGGCAGCAGAGCCACCGCUCCUUCCCCCUCGCGUGCUGGUUCCAAACCGAAAAUGAUGUUCUGGGAAGAGGAGAUUAGGACAGACACACACAGAGGGAAGACCCUGUGAGGACGGAGGCCAAGGAGCGAGGCCUCAGAAGGAACCAGCCCUGCCGGCACGCUGACCUUGGACCCCCAGCCUCCAGAAGCCUCCGGCCACUGGCCCUUGUUCUACCCGAUCCCACCUGAAUGGAGGGCGUCAUGCCAGGGUCCUCAACAAGCAUGAGUCACGGCCUGCACAGCCACCCCGGACCCCACCGCGGGAAGCUGUCAGAGGCUGCGGAUCAGAGGAGGAGGGAGAAUUUUGAGCAGGAGAUGGGGCUCACCAGGCUUCCUUCCGGGCUGUGGGAGAAUCCAUCGAGCUGGCAAGCCGAGCUCCAGGGUCAUCAUAGUGGCCGAAUCACUUCUGAGAGGAGCAGAUUGCAAAACUGAAACACAUGCAUUGAAAAAACUGGACCCAACACAGGGCAGGCAAGCCCCAAAGUGGAGCCUGGCCUGCGAGUGUUCCUGGCUUGGCUCAGGAAAUACUUCAAGGACAGCCAGAGGUGGUAGAAAACAGCUUUACUGAAGUGGCAGUGUUACAGCUCCGUGACUGCUCCCGCAGAGCGGGGCUACCCAUGGGCAGUGUUACAGCUCCGUGACUGCUCCCGCAGAGCAGGGCUACCCGUGGGCAGAGAGUAGCAGCCAUAUUUAUACCUACUUUUUUUUUUUUUUUUCAGCCUGGUGUCACCCAGGCUGGAGUGCGGUGGCGCGAUCUCGGCUCACUGCAACC